UACGAUAUUUUGGCAUUAAUACAAUUUUUUUGUUGUCUCAAACCGCUAAAGAAAUAUUUUUUUCCAAUUCUAAAUUCAUUAGAUAGAAUCAAAAUAUUUUUGUUAAAUUUUUGGGGACUACCCCUAUUAUUUGAUAAUUUUACAAAGUCAGCUGAUUCAGCGCUGCAUUGCAAUGUGAAAAAGCGCGCCAAAUAGAUCGCAACUUUUUAGCUGUAUAAAAUUUAUUUGUUAAUCGCAUAAAUUAAAACUUAAUAUGCAAAAAGUUAAUAAAGCUUAAUCCUAACAAAUAUGUUUGUGUUCUGUGGAGUAUAACUUUAACAGUCCUCGCUAGGCCUCGGCAGUUUUAGCUGAGGGUAAUUAACUAAACCAUAUACUAUAAGGACCCAUUAAUAACUUUUGCCCGUUUUUGCCCCUUUUCCCGAAAAUUGACAUGUUGUAGUUGCGCUUGAGUUUAGACGCUCAGUGCUGCUGGAAAUUUGGAGAUGCAACAACCGCCAAAACGACGUUGUAAUAUCUUUUAUUGCCAAAUCUUUUAACAACAAUGUGAACGAAGAUCUUAAAAAAAUUAUCCAAAAAGAAGUCGAGGAAUUUAUUCACUAUAUAAAAAAAUGUUUGUUGAAAUGCAAUAGAAUGUUAGAUCGAUUUAAAGUUAAACAUUAAACAUGGUGAGCACGAGACGUCUCCAAAUAAAGCUGGACGUAAAUAUUUAAAUUAUGAAAAUGCAGGAUGUCGUUUAAAAAGAAAGUUAUCAUCAGAGCUUGCGUCAAAGGAAAAUUACGAAACUCCACUCUUAAUGAAGCCAGAAAUAAAAUAUACAAGAAUGACAGAAGAUCUCAUGCAAGAAAAUGCAGCAGAUUGAAUAA